GAAGCAAAGAGGCAAUGCCAGCGGUGUGGUUGUUUUUCACGGUGUCGAAAGGCUGAGAUUUAAGCACUGGCCACGACAAAGAAGACCUGAUUUAGAUGGAAAAGCUGAGUGCUGGAGCGGAAACUGGAAACAGCCGGAUCAGCCCAGGAUACAAAUCAGGGAUCCGACAGACAGAUCCAAUGACUCGUCUACACUGAAGGAGGAAGAAAAGUUCACGCCACCACCUUCAUUAAGGCCCUGCUUCUUGCUGCUCCAGAACCACAUGUGGCUCUUCCCCAGUUUGGCUCCUAAGUAAAAGGAUGCAGAGCUGAACAAUGUUGUAAUUAAAGGGACAGCAGGAGAGGGUGGCUUUAGCAGUUUGUCUGUAUGUUUUUAUGCAAUAUCUGCAUAGACUGUCUGCAACAGAUCAAGACCAAAGAUACAAGACCUCCGCUGUCCAGGGAGAGUUCGGUGGAGAGCAGCUGCUCCUCCACAUCAAAAGGAGUCAGUCAGGGGAAGACGAGGCCGAUUCAGACCCAGAACUGGCUGGAGGGACUCAGCUGAGAAAAUAAGAAGUGAACAUGGCAAUUUUUCGCCCAUACCUGAAAAGUUGUCUGGUGUGAAUUGCUUGCAUUGUUUGCUAUUAUUUCAGCUCUUAACUUUGUUCUCUCUUUUCUCUUCCUAGAAGCUACACUUGGCCUGACUCUGUGUCUACCUGUGACACCUUUCUGGAGAGGGGAA